GGCUGGUCCAAGUGCACUGGUGUUUACAACUAAUUGAUCACAACCAGUUACAGAUUUCUUUGUUCCUUCUCCACUCCCACUGCUUCAUUUGACUAGCCUUAA
ensembl:misc_RNA Y_RNA Y RNA